rnacentral:rRNA from 1 species
UACGUAGGGGGCAAGCGUUGUCCGGAAUCAUUGGGCGUAAAGAGCGCGUAGGCGGUCCGGUAAGUCCGCUCUGAAAGUCCGGGGCUCAACCCCGGAAGGCGGGCGGAUACUGUCGGGCUAGAGUCCGGAAGAGGCGAGUGGAAUUCCUGGUGUAGCGGUGAAAUACGUAGAUAUCAGGAGGAACACCUGCGGUGUAGACGGCUUACUGGACCAUAACUGACGCUGAGGCACGAAAGCGUGGGUAGCAAACAGG